AUUGAACGCUGGCGGCAGGCCUAACACAUGCAAGUCGAGCGGCAGCGGGAAAGUAGCUUGCUACUUUUGCCGGCGAGCGGCGGACGGGUGAGUAAUGCCUGGGAAAUUGCCCAGUCGAGGGGGAUAACAGUUGGAAACGACUGCUAAUACCGCAUGUGCCCUACGGGGGAAAGCAGGGGACCUUCGGGCCUUGCGCGAUUGGAUAUGCCCAGGUGGGAUUAGCUAGUUGGUGAGGUAAUGGCUCACCAAGGCGACGAUCCCUAGCUGGUCUGAGAGGAUGAUCAGCCACACUGGAACUGAGACACGGUCCAGGCUCCUACGGGAGGCAGCAGUGGGGAAUAUUGCACAAUGGGGGAAACCCUGAUGCAGCCAUGCCGCGUGUGUGAAGAAGGCCUUCGGGUUGUAAAGCACUUUCAGCGAGGAGGAAAGGUUGGUGGCUAAUAACUGCCAGCUGUGACGUUACUCGCAGAAGAAGCACCGGCUAACUCCGUGCCAGCCGCCGCAGUAAGAC
rnacentral:rRNA from 1 species